rnacentral:rRNA from 1 species
AACGAACGCUGGCGGCAGGCUUAACACAUGCAGUCGAACGGUUGUAGCAAUACAGCAGUGGCAGACGGGUGAGUAACACGUGGGAACCUUCCUAGGGGUACGGAACAACUCAGGGAAACUUAAGCUAAUACCGUAUACGUCCGUGAGGAGAAAGAUUUAUCGCCCCUAGACGGGCCCGCGUAGGAUUAGGUAGUUGGUGAGGUAACGGCUCACCAAGCCUACGAUCCUUAGCUGAUCUGAGAGGAUGAUCAGCCACACUGGGACUGAGACACGGCCCAGACUCCUACGGGAGGCAGCAGUGGGGAAUCUUGGACAAUGGGCGCAAGCCUGAUCCAGCCAUGCCGCGUGAGUGAAGAAGGCCUUCGGGUUGUAAAGCUCUUUUACCAGGGACGAUAAUGACGGUACCUGGAGAAUAAGCCCCGGCAAACUUCGUGCCAGCCGCCGCAGUAA